AUACUCAUUUGGGAAGCACAUGUACUAAAACUGGAAUUCUAAAGAGAAGAUUAGCACAGACCCUGAACAAAGAUGACAUGCAAAUUUGUAAAGCAUUUAAUAUUUUU